rnacentral:rRNA from 1 species
CCUACGGGUGGCAGCAGUAUGGAAUAUUUCUCCAUGGGGGAAACCCUGAAGCAGCAACGCCGCGUGAAGGAUGAAGGUUUUCGGGUUGUAAACUCCUUUUGUUAUAGAAGAUAAUGACGGUAUCUAACGAAUAAGCACCGGCUAACUCCGUACCAGCAGCCUCGGUAAUACGGAGGUUGCAAGCGUUACUCGGACUCACUGGGAGUAAAGGGCGCGUAGGCGGGAUAGCAAGUCAGAUGUGAAAUACUAUGGCUUAACCAGAGAAAUGCAUUUGAAACUGUUAUUCUAGAGUAUGGGAGAGGUAGGCGGAAUUCUUGGUGUAGGGGUAAAAUGCGUAGAGAUCAAGAAGAAUACUCAUUGCGAAGGCGACCUGCUAGAACAUAACUGACGCUGAUGCUCGAAAGCGUGGGGAGCAAACAGGAUUAGAUACCCCUGUAGUC